UCAACCCAUCGGGAUGUGCUUCUUUACACUGAAGACCUCAGCUUUGGUGAUUCUGCUAACCAUGGAGGUCGCACUUGUUGCACCUAAUCCUCAGGACUGUAUUGCAAGGAAUGACGACGGAAGAGAUUGCAUCUUUGCUGGCACACGUAUUCAGAGGGGUGCCACUGUGAGCUGGCGAAAGCCCUGUGUUCAAGUUACGUGCUCAGGGGAUGGAUUAAGAACGACAGUUCUAGGGUGCCCAUAUAGAGGUGGACAAAACCCACACCCCGGAGCACCUGGACCGGCUGCAAUAGCCCAACACUACCCUUUCUGUUGCAAUAGUUGCGAGCAAGUACAAUAGCUGGAUAUCACUUGUGCUGAAGCCAGUUUUAACCAGUUCAAGUGCCCUGAUCUCCGAAUAUGGCGGAAGUAUUAUCUAUGUUAGUGUAGCAGGAGUAAUAAGAGGUCAGCGGGAUCGGGUGUUAUGAAUAAAAUAAGUUUUUCAUUCCACGA